rnacentral:rRNA from 1 species
GAUUCCCUUAGUAACGGCGAGUGAAAAGGGAUCAGCCCAGCGCCAAGUCCUGACGCUUAACGUGUUCAGGAGAUGCGGCGUUAGUGUGUUGGUGCAUCGUACACUGCCACGUGUCUCAAGUUCCUUUGACAGGGACUCCCAGAGUGGGUGCUAGGCCCAUAGAGACUGCGGGGCCGGUGUACGCAGACCAUCGCAUUUUAGAGUCAGGUUGCUUGAAAGUGCAGCCUAAAGCAGGUGGUAAACUCCAUCUAAGGCUAAAUAUUACAGCGAGACCGAUAGCAAACAAGUACCGUGAGGGAAAGUUGCAAAGAACUUUGAAGAGAGAGUUCAAAAGGACGUGAAACCACUAACAGGCAAACGGGUGGAACCACGAAGUGUGCCUGGCGGGCGAUUCAACUGUCGCCAUCGGCUGGCUGUGCCUGUUGUACGGGUCGGUUCUCCGGCCACACUGGUGCAGUCUACAACCGGUGGCGGUGGUGCAUUUUGUUCCGCCAGUGCUAAAGCCACGUCCGAUUAGGUGGCUGGAACGGCCGUAGUGAGUGUUCGGUGGAAGGUGGCCGUCAGAUGCCUCGGCGUCUGGCGGUGUUAUAGCCACCGAGCCGUGCCGUUGCCUAGCGUGCUGAUCGGUGCAACAUCUCCAACUGGAGUAUUGCUAGUAAUGGGCCGGCGCGCCUGUGGUUGCCUGGUCGUCGUGCCAGCCUGGCCUUACGUUCCUUCGGGUGCGACAAGACUGGUUGGUAUCGGUGGUCAGUGUGCUGCUUGCGUGGUCGGUUUGUGCAAACGGUGGUGCGAGUAGGUCGGUCUCCACCCGACCCGUCUUGAAACACGGACCAAGGAGCCUAGCAUAUACGCGAGUCGCACGGUCUUGUUUAGGCCUGUGAGGCGCAAUGAAAGUAACUCGGCUACGAGGUUGGCCCCCGUGGCUGAUCGCAGUAGCGGCCCGCCGGCUUCCUUUAUCGGGGAUAUGGCGGAGUCGGAGCGUAUACGCUGGUACCCGAAAGAUGGUGAACUAUGCCUGGGCAAGACGAAGCCAGAGGAAACUCUGGUGGAGGUCUGUAGCGAUUCUGACGUGCAAAUCGAUCGUCAGACCUGGGUAUAGGGGCGAAAGACUAAUCGAACCAUCUAGUAGCUGGUUCCCUCCGAAGUUUCCCUCAGGAUAGCAGGCGCUUGUUUAAUCAGUCUCAUCCGGUAAAGCUAAUGAUUAGAGGUCUUGGGGCCGAAACGGCCUCAACCUAUUCUCAAACUUUAAAUGGGUGAGAUGCUUGACUUGCUUGAUUGAAGCCAAGCAAUUGGAUGUAAGUGCCUAGUGGGCCAGCUUUGGUAAGCAGAACUGGCGCUGUGGGAUGAACCAAACGUCGAGUUAAGGCAUCAAAUGCGUACGCUCAUCAGACCCCAUGAAAGGUGUUGGUUGCUAUAGACAGCAGGACGGUGGCCAUGGAAGUCGGAAUCC